GAACGCUAGCUACAGGCUUAACACAUGCAAGUCGAGGGGCAGCAUGGUCUUAGCUUGCUAAGACUGAUGGCGACCGGCGCACGGGUGAGUAACGCGUAUCCAACCUGCCAUCACGUUGGGGAUAACCUUGUGAAAGUAAGACUAAUACCCAAUGACGUCUCUAGAAGACAUCUGAAAGAGAUUUAAAAGAUUUAUCGGUGAUGGAUGGGGAUGCGUCUGAUUAGCUUGUUGGCGGGGUAACGGCCCACCAAGGCGACGAUCAGUAGGGGUUCUGAGAGGAAGGUCCCCCACAUUGGAACUGAGACACGGUCCAAACUCCUACGGGAGGCAGCAGUGAGGAAUAUUGGUCAAUGGACGAGAGUCUGAACCAGCCAAGUAGCGUGCAGGAUGACGGCCCUAUGGGUUGUAAACUGCUUUUAUAAGGGAAUAAAGUGGGAGUCGUGACUCUUUUUGCAUGUACCUUAUGAAUAAGGACCGGCUAAUUCCGUG
rnacentral:rRNA from 1 species